rnacentral:rRNA from 1 species
AAGGAGUCUAGUAAAUGAGCGAGUCUAAGGUAUCCUCCGAAUACCGCAGGCGUUGUGAAGGCGCUUGUCCGCUGCUGCGUCCGGCGACCUUGCGUCCCGGCGCGCGCGGGCGCGUGCCACCGCACUCCAUAGCGACGAUGGGGGCCCGAACAGCCCUCCGCAGUCGCGAGGUGGUCUCGUUCUCGCGCGGCUCGCGCCGUCGUCGAGAGGAGCCAUGCUCCGAGCUUACGUGCUAGUACCCGAAAGAUGGUGAACUAUGCUUGACGAGAGCUGAGUUAGGGGAAACCCUGAUGUAAGCUCGUCAUCGAUUCUGACGUGCAAAUCGAUCGUCUGAGUUACGUAUAGGGGCGAAAGACCAAUCGAACCAUCUAGUAGCUGGUUCCUUCCGAAGUUUCCCUCAGGAUAGCUCGUGUCGCUUUAGCUAGUAACAUGUGGUAAAGCUAAUGACUAGAGGUAUUGGGACCGAAACGGCCUCAACCUAUUCUCAAACUUUCAAUGUGUGUGAGAUCAAACGGCUUACGGUGAUGCGCGCGCGCGCAGCAAUGCGUGCGCGUGCUUUACGAAGCCGUGCGAACUUGAGCCGCGCCCCACCCUCUUAUCGGGGAUGGUGGUGGUGGCUCGCUACAAUAACGCGGCACGCAGUGGGCCGAUUUUGGUAAGCAGAAACGGCGAUGUGGGAUGAACCAAAUGCAAAGCUAAAGCGUCAAAGUCAACG